rnacentral:misc_RNA from 1 species
UCUCCGCAGGUGAACCUGCGGAAGGAUCAUUAAAGUUAUAGUCCCCCGGCCCUCUGGGCUGGGGUCUUCUAUACCACCCUUUGUUUAUUACACCUUUGUUGCUUUGGCAGGCCUGCCCUCGGGCUGCUGGCUCCGGCCGGCUCGCGUCUGCCAGAGGACCUAAACUCUGUUUGUAUAUGAAGUCUGAGUACUAUAUAAUAGUUAAAACUUUCAACAACGGAUCUCUUGGUUCUG